rnacentral:lncRNA from 1 species
UUGUGUGUCGAUACGGCUUCCGGCUGACGUGAUUGUCAUUGUAGAGGGACCGGAUCGUCACUUCAAUCUCGGCUUUUGUGGAAGCCAGACCUCACACCAGUGGCCAUUACGGAGAAUAUAAAAUUUUGGUUGAAAUGUUUUAAAUAGAAUAUUAAUUUACGUGAGAAGGAGUUGUUUUGUUUUUGGUUAAGUGUUUGAAGAGAAGAGUUUUUGUGUUCCAACACCUUUUUUUUGAAGAGUAAUGGCCACUGGUGGAGACCAAGAUUAAGUCACCCCAAACAAGUUUUGAAAUGGAAUAGACAAUCAUUUUGGGUUUUUGGGCAUUGGAUGGAGUUUAGUUUUGGUUUAUUUUCUUUGGGAAAAUAUAUAGUUUUCCGGUGCUAGGAAGUAGCUCCUUGUCGCACCUCAUCUUCAUACCUUCUGGUUGGUGAGAAGUACUUCCCCUAAGGUAGGGAAAACCGGAAGAUACCUUACUUGGCUCUCCCCGUAUCAACUACUGGAGUUUGGAGAAGCCACAGUCCUGCAUUUAGUAGAAGCGACAGGUUUUUAUUGUUAAAAUUUACAUUUUCAAUCCUUUUGCCUAAUAUUUUUUUUUCAACUUUAACAUUUUUUAAUAACAUAAAUAACCUUAAUAAUCAUGUAAAUUCAACUUUUCUAAAAUCAAUUCACUUUAUCAUAUUAAAUAUUUUCUUUUCAACAAAUUUUAGGUCAUUUUCAUUAUUGUAUCUUUAUUUAAAAUAGUCCGGAGAUCAUAACCUACCUGGUAAGAUAAUGUGCACACUAUCGUAAGGUUAUUACCUCACCUCUUUAAUAGUAUUUAUUUCAUUCGUAAGUAUUGUCCGGUUCGUCAUUCUGAUCAGAUACGAAAUUGUCAACCAAUGUUGUAAUACUCUUUAAAAAUAAGUUUUUGUACAUGCAUAUUCAAAUCAACUAAUUGUCUUGGUAUAAUAAAUUCAAUCCAUUUUUAUACUGUAAUAUAUAGGUUAUAGACAGGAGCGUACUAGCCUAGUACGUCAGGUGUUAGCUAGUUUGUAUAAAUUGUAUAUAGGGGUUAUAGGUAAUUUUUUUUCCAUUAAACUGGUUGGUUGUA